rnacentral:tRNA from 1 species
GGUACCGUAGCCAAGUGGUAAGGCAGGGGUCUGCAAAACCUCUAUCGUGGGUUCGAUUCCCGCCGGUACCUCCA